GACGAAGGUGGCGAGCGUUGUUCGGAAUCACUGGGCAUAAAGCGCACGUAGGCGGCGACGUAAGUUGGGUGUGAAAUCCCUCGGCCCAACCGAGGAACUGCGCCCAGUACUGCGUUGCUUGAGGAUCCAAGGGGUGCAUGGAAUUCCCGGUGGAGCGGUGAAAUACGUUGAUAUCGGGAGGAACUCCGGCGGCGAAAGCGGUGCACUGGUGGAUUACUGACGCUGAGGUGCGAAAGCCAGGGGAGCAAACAGG
rnacentral:rRNA from 1 species